CCUACGAGUGGCAGCAGUGAGGAAUAUUGGUCAAUGGGCGCGAGCCUGAACCAGCCAAGUAGCGUGAAGGAUGACGGCCCUACGGGUUGUAAACUUCUUUUAUAAAGGAAUAAAGUGAGUCACGUGUGCCUUUUUGUAUGUACUUUAUGAAUAAGGAUCGGCUAACUCCGUUCAAGCAGCCGCGGUAAUACGGAGGCUCCGAGCGUUAUCCGGAUGUAUUGGGUUUAAAGGGAGCGUAGAUGGGUUGUUAAGUCAGUUGUGAAAGUUUGGGGCUCAACGCUAAAAUUGCAAUUGAUACUGGCAGCCGUGAGUACGGGUGAGGUAGGCGGAAUGCGUGGUGUAGCGGUGAAAUGCUUAGAUAUCACGAAGAACUCCGAUUGCGAAGGCAGCCUACGAAACUGCCACUGACAUUGAUGCUCGAAAGUGUGGGUAUCAAACAGGAUUAGAUACCCUUGUAGUC
rnacentral:rRNA from 1 species